GCUGGGCGCGGUGGCUCACGCCUGUAAUCCCAGCACUGUGGGAGGCCGAGGUGGGUGGAUCACUGGAGGUCAGGAAUUUGACACCAGCCUGGCCAACAUGGAGAAACCGUGUCCCUACUAAAAACACAAAAAUUGCCAGGCACGGUGGCUCACACCUGUAAUCCCAGCACUUCGGGAGGCUGAGGUGGGAGGAUCACGAGGUCCACAGUUCGAGACCAGCCUGGCCAACAUGGUGAAACCCCAUCUCUA
rnacentral:SRP_RNA from 1 species